AGCUCCAAUAGCGUAUAUUUAAGUUGUUGCAGUUAAAAGGCUCGUAGUCGAAUUUCGGAUGCAUCACAGUGAUCCGCCUCUGGUGAGUAUUGCUGUUGAUGCAUCUUUCUGUUGAGGACAGGCUCUCAGUCUUAAUUGAUUGGGACCUGGGCUCAACGAGGUUACUUUGAGUAAAUUAGAGUGUUCAAAGCAGGCGAUCGCCUUGAAUACAUUAGCAUGGAAUAGCACGAUAGGACUCUGGCCUAUCUUGCUGGUCUGUAGGACCGGAGUAAUGAUUAAGAGGGACAGUCGGGGACAUUGGUAUUUCCGAGCUAGAGGUGAAAUUCUUGGAUUUCGGAAAGACCAACUACUGCGAAAGCAUUUGUCAAGGAUGUUUUCA
rnacentral:rRNA from 1 species